UUGAUCGUGCUCAGGAUGAACGCUGGCGGCGUGCNUAACACAUGCAAGUCGAGCGAUCUCUUCGGAGAGAGCGGCGGACGGGUGAGUAACGCGUGGGUAACCUGCCCUGUACACACGGAUAACAUACCGAAAGGUAUACUAAUACGGGAUAACAUAUGAAAGUCGCAUGGCUUUUGUAUCAAAGCUCCGGCGGUACAGGAUGGACCCGCGUCUGAUUAGCUAGUUGGUAAGGUAAUGGCUUACCAAGGCAACGAUCAGUAGCCGACCUGAGAGGGUGAUCGGCCACACUGGAACUGAGACACGGUCCAGACUCCUACGGGAGGCAGCAGUGGGGAAUAUUGCACAAUGGGCGAAAGCCUGAUGCAGCAACGCCGCGUGAGCGAUGAAGGCCUUCGGGUCGUAAAGCUCUGUCCUCAAGGAAGAUAAUGACGGUACUUGAGGAGGAAGCCCCGGCUAACUACGUGCCAGCAGCCGCGGUAAUACGUAGGGGGCUAGCGUUAUCCGGAAUUACUGGGCGUAAAGGGUGCGUAGGUGGUUUUUUAAGUCAGAAGUGAAAGGCUACGGCUCAACCGUAGUAAGCUUUUGAAACUAGAGAACUUGAGUGCAGGAGAGGAGAGUAGAAUUCCUAGUGUAGCGGUGAAAUGCGUAGAUAUUAGGAGGAAUACCAGUAGCGAAGGCGGCUCUCUGGACUGUAACUGACACUGAGGCACGAAAGCGUGGGGAGCAACAGGAUUAGAUACCCUGGUAGUCCACCCCGUAAACGAUGAGUACUAGGUGUCGGGGGUUACCCCCCUCGGUGCCGCAGCUAACGCAUUAAGUACUCCCCUGGGAAGUACGCUCGCAAGAGUGAAACUCAAAGGAAUUGACGGGGACCCGCACAAGUAGCGGAGCAUGUGGUUUAAUUCGAAGCAACGCGAAGAACCUUACCUUAAGCUUGACAUCCCACUGACCUCUCCCUAAUCGGAGAUUUCCCUUCGGGGACAGUGGUGACAGGUGGUGCAUGGUUGUCGUCAGCUCGUGUCGUGAGAUGUUGGGUUAAGUCCCGCAACGAGCGCAACCCUUGCCUUUAGUUGCCAGCAUUAAGUUGGGCACUCUAGAGGGACUGCCGAGGAUAACUCGGAGGAAGGUGGGGAUGACGUCAAAUCAUCAUGCCCCUUAUGCUUAGGGCUACACACGUGCUACAAUGGGUGGUACAGAGGGUUGCCAAGCCGCGAGGUGGAGCUAAUCCCUUAAAGCCAUUCUCAGUUCGGAUUGUAGGCUGAAACUCGCCUACAUGAAGCUGGAGUUACUAGUAAUUCGCAGAUCAGAAUGCUGCGGGUGAAUGCGUUCCCGGGUCUUGUACACACCGCCCGUCACACCAUGGAAGUUGGGGGCGCCCGAAGCCGGUUAGCUAACCUUUUAGGAAGCGGCCGUCGAANGUGAAACCAAUGACUGGGGUGAAGUCGUAACAAGGUA
rnacentral:rRNA from 1 species